GACGGGGCCCGCACAAGCGGAGGAACAUGUGGUUUAAUUCGAUGAUACGCGAGGAACCUUACCUGGGCUUAAAUGUAGAGUGCAUUUUUAGAGAUAGAAAUUCCCUUCGGGGCUUUCUGCAAGGUGCUGCAUGGUUGUCGUCAGCUCGUGCCGUGAGGUGUCGGGUUAAGUCCCAUAACGAGCGCAACCCUUAUCGUUAGUUGCCAUCUGGUAAUGCAGGGGACUCUAGCGAAACUGCCACCGUAAGGUGAGAGGAAGGUGGGGAUGAUGUCAAGUCAGCAUGGCCUUUAUAUCCUGGGCUACACACACGCUACAAUGGCCAACACAAUAGGUUGCUAAGCCGCGAGGUGGCGCCAAUCCAUAAAGUUGGUCUCAGUUCAGAUUGUAGGCUGCAACCCGCCUGCAUGAAGAUGGAGUUGCUAGUAACCGCAGGUCAGCUAUACUGCGGUGAAUACGUUCCCGGGGCUU
rnacentral:rRNA from 1 species